CUUGAUCACAAGGUCUUUGGCAGGCCAGAAUACUCACCACUAUACUACAACGACUCGGCUAAAAAAUCCAGUGGAGGCAAAAUCCACACAUUUUAGAGCUGCUUGGACUGACAAACUAUGUUUGAUACAAAACUACCCCCUGGCGUGACAAUGCUUCAACUUUUCUCUGAAGGAUCUUCAAUUAAAAAAAUUGUUGUUCAGGGUUGGUUAGGGUGUCAUGUGACAGAAAUAUGGAUAUGUAAUUGAGGAAGAAUUCUUUUUCGCAUGCCACAAUUUUGAAUAUGCCUAGAUUACGAGACUGCAUUGUUGCUGAGCAGUGGAGACCUAAUGCUGAUGAAGCACUAUACCAGGCAGGAAGACUUACAGGUUAUUCUCUUUCAAUGUCUCAAUUAGAGUAUCAAUCAGACAAAACUAUUCAAUGGCAUGUGAAUACUAUUAUUAUUAUUAUUUG